UUCAUCCAGAGCAGCCGAGGGAAUGGCCCUAUGACACUGCGGCAACCCCCCAUAGCGGGAAGGUGCCAAGUCCAACGGAUUUCGAUCCGGCAGAUGAA
rnacentral:ncRNA from 1 species